UGGGGAAUUUUGGACAAUGGGGGAAACCCUGAUCCAGCCAUCCCGCGUGUGCGAUGAAGGCCUUCGGGUUGUAAAGCACUUUUGGCAGGAAAGAAACGUCAUGGGUUAAUACCCCGUGAAACUGACGGUACCUGCAGAAUAAGCACCGGCUAACUACGUGCCAGCAGCCGCGGUAAUACGUAGGGUGCAAGCGUUAAUCGGAAUUACUGGGCGUAAAGCGUGCGCAGGCGGUUCGGAAAGAAAGAUGUGAAAUCCCAGAGCUCAACUUUGGAACUGCAUUUUUAACUACCGGGCUAGAGGGUGUCAGAGGGAGGUGGAAUGCCGCGUGUAGCAGUGAAAUGCGUAGAUAUGCGGAGGAACACCGAUGGCGAAGGCAGCCUCCUGGGAUAACACUGACGCUCAUGCACGAAAGCGUGGGGAGCAAACAGG
rnacentral:rRNA from 1 species